UACGAAGGGUGCAAACGUUGCUCGGAAUUAUUGGGCGUAAAGCGCACGUAGGCGGCUUGGCAAGUCGGAUGUGAAAUCCCUCGGCUCAACCAAGGAAGUGCAUCCGAAACUGCUGAGCUUGAGUACUUAAGGGGAUCGCGGAAUUCCCGGUGUAGAGGUGAAAUUCGUAGAUAUCGGGAGGAACACCAGUGGCGAAGGCGGCGAUCUGGGAAGUUACUGACGCUGAGAGGCGAAAGCGUGGGGAGCAAACAGG
rnacentral:rRNA from 1 species